CUUCCCCACUUCAACAUUUUUUAUCUUGUCUUUUGUAACAAAAAAUCACUUUUACACGAGAGAGAAGCUAAUCGUUAUCAAGAGUCCCUUGCAUAUCAGAGUUUGUUCACAUACUCAUGAGGACAUGCUUUCUUGGUCGUAUUGAAAUAUGUUGAUAUACUAAUGUAAAUGUUUCCAUAUGAAGGAUCUUGCAAUACUCAAAUAUUUCUUAGGUUUAGAACUAGCUCGCGGACCAUUUGGCAUGUUCAUAUGUCACUGAAAAUAUACUCUUGAUAUCUUAAGUUAAGUGAGUGCAAAAUGCUAGACUGCAAACCACCUACAUUUCCGAUGGAAGAAAA
rnacentral:lncRNA from 1 species